rnacentral:rRNA from 1 species
UACAGAGGUGGCAAGCGUUGUUCGGAAUUACUGGGCGUAAAGGGCGCGUAGGCGGCUUGGUCAGUCCCGUGUGAAAUCCCUCGGCUCAACUGAGGAACUGCACGGGAAACUGCCUGGCUUGAGUUCGGGAGAGGGAAGCGGAAUUCCGGGUGUAGCGGUGAAAUGCGUAGAUAUCCGGAGGAACACCGGUGGCGAAGGCGGCUUCCUGGACCGACACUGACGCUGAGGCGCGAAAGCGUGGGUAGCGAACGGG